rnacentral:rRNA from 1 species
UUCUAUUAAAAAUACUAAUUAAUAGUAAAAUCUGCUCAAUGAAAAAUAAAUAGCCGCAAUUCGUGCUAAGGUAGCAUAAUCAUUUGUCUUUUAAAUAAAGACUAGAACAAAAGAUUUAACAUUUUAAUAAAUAUAUCUGAUAUAAAAAAUUAAAUUUUUAAAAGUAGUAAAAAUACCACUAUAAUAAAGAAAGACGACAAGACCCUAUUGAACUUAACUUCAGUUAAACUGGGGCAGUAAAUUAAUUAUAAUUUUAAUAUAAAUAAAACGACACAUAUCCUUUACAAUAGAUUAAUCCAGUUACCAUAGGGAUAACAGCGCAAUUACUUUUUAAAGCUCUCAUAUUAAAAAUAGAUUACGACCUCGAUGUUGAAUUAAUAACCUAAAUAAGGCAAAUCUUAAAUAAGGAAGUCUGUUCGACUUUUAAAAAAUUACA